UAUUAUUCCAAGAAAAUUUAAAAAUCUUAAGUUAGUAAUAGAUAUUUACUUAAAAAUUAAAAAAUUUGGCGGUAAUUUAAUCCUUUCAGAGGAACUUGUUUUUUAAUCGAUAAUCCUCGUAGUAUCUUACUUAUUUUUAUAGAAGUUUGUAUACCGUCAUUAUCAGAUAAUUUUUAGAAAAUAAAUUAUUAAGAUUAAAGUUUUAUUAAAAUUAGAUCAUGGUGCAGCUUAUGAAUAAGUUAAAAUGAGUUACAAUAAAUUAUUUUGAUGGUUAAAUAAAAGUAUAUUUGUUUAUAAAUAGGAUUUGGUUGUAUUUAAAGUUUAAUAUGCUAAUAAGAUGAAGGCUCUAAAUUAUGUACAUAU
rnacentral:rRNA from 1 species